rnacentral:rRNA from 1 species
GAUGAACGCUGGCGGCGUGCCUAAUACAUGCAAGUCGAGCGAACAGACGAGGAGCUUGCUCCUCUGACGUUAGCGGCGGACGGGUGAGUAACACGUGGAUAACCUACCUAUAAGACUGGGAUAACUUCGGGAAACCGGAGCUAAUACCGGAUAAUAUAUUGAACCGCAUGGUUCAAUAGUGAAAGACGGUUUUGCUGUCACUUAUAGAUGGAUCCGCGCCGCAUUAGCUAGUUGGUAAGGUAACGGCUUACCAAGGCAACGAUGCGUAGCCGACCUGAUAGGGUGAUCGGCCACACUGGAACUGAGACACGGUCCAGACUCCUACGGGAGGCAGCAGUAGGGAAUCUGCCGCAAUGGGCGAAAGCCUGACGGAGCAACGCCGCGUGAGUGAUGAAGGUCUUCGGAUCGUAAAACUCUGUUAUUAGGGAAGAACAAAUGUGUAAGUAACUAUGCACGUCUUGACGGUACCUAAUCAGAAAGCCACGGCUAACUACGUG